CACCCGCAGCUCGAGUGGUGGUCACUUUUAUUGAGCCUAAAGCGUUUGUAGCCGGAUCCGUAAAUCUCCAGGCAAAUUCCUUCGCUUAACGAAGGAUCUUCUGGAGAGACUGCGGAUCUAGGGACCGGGUGAGGUUGAAUGUACUUCUGGGGUAGGGGUAAAAUCCUGUAAUCCUGGAAGGACGACCGGUGGCGAAGGCGUUCAACUAGAACGGAUCCGACGGUGAGGAACGAGGGCUAGGGGAGCAAACCGGAUUAGAUACCCGGGUAGUCCUAGCUGUAAACACUGCCCACUUGAUGUUGCAUCUCCGUGUAGGGGGUGCAGUGUCGUAGCGAAGGUGUUAAGUGGGCCGCUUGGGGAGUAUGGUCGCAAGGCUGAAACUUAAAGGAAUUGGCGGGGGAGCACCACAACGGGAGGAGCGUGCGGUUUAAUUGGAUUCAACGCCGGAAAGCUCACCAGGAGCGACCUUUGAAUGAGAGUCAACUUGACGAGCUUACUCGAUAGAAGGAGAGGUGGUGCAUGGCCGUCGUCAGCUCGUACCGUAGGGCGUUCACUUAAGUGUGAUAACGAGCGAGACCCCCAUCUUUAAUUGCCAUCAUGUUCGAGAGGACGUGGGCACUUUAAAGGGACCGCCAGCGCAGAGCUGGAGGAAGGAGGGGUCGACGGCAGGUCAGUACGCCCCGAAUCUCCUGGGCAACACGCGCGCUACAAAGGACAGGACAAUGGGCUGCGACCUCGAAAGGGGAAGCCAAUCUCGAAACCUGUUCGUAGUUAGGAUUGAGGGCUGUAACUCGCCCUCAUGAAUCUGGAUUCCGUAGUAAUCGCGGGUCAACAUCCCGCGGUGAAUAUGUCCCUGCUCCU
rnacentral:rRNA from 1 species